rnacentral:rRNA from 1 species
GAUUAACGCUGGCGGCGUGCCUAACACAUGCAAGUCGAGCGGCAGCGAGCUUUUCACUGAAUUCUGGCAGCUUCCAGUUGAAAGAGUAGCUUUAUUCAAGCCUUUUGUGUAAAAUGUCGGCGCGCGGCGGACGGCUGAGUAAUGCGUGGGAACGUACCCCACUGCGAGGGGUAACGCAUCGAAUGGCGUGCUAUUACCGCAUACGGUCUUCGGAUUAAAGCCUUCGGGCGCUUUGGGAACGGCCUGCGUAAGAUUAGUUGGGGGGUGGGGUAAUGGCCUACCAAGGCGACGAUCUUGGACUGGGUGGAGAGGAGGAUCAGUCAGACUGGAGCUGAGACACGGUCCAGACUGCGACGGGAGGGAGCAGUGAGGAAUCUUACACAAUGGGCGAUAGCCUGAUGGAGCAACGCCGCGUGCAGGAUGAAUGCCUUCGGGUUGUAAACUGCUUUUAGAAGUGAGGAGUAUGACAGUAACUGAUGAAGAAGGAUCGGCUAACUACGUG